GCGGCAGUGGCGGAAUUGGUAGACGCACCAGCUUGAGGGGCUGGCGGCCGCAAGGUCGUGGAGGUUCGAGUCCUCUCUGCCGCACCA
rnacentral:tRNA from 1 species